rnacentral:rRNA from 1 species
UGCUACACAUGCAAGUCGAGCGAUUCUCUUCGGAGAAGAGCGGCGGACGGGUGAGUAACGCGUGGGUAACCUGCCCUGGACACUCGGUGUUCUUACCGAAAGGUAUGCUAAUACGAGAUAAUAUACUUUUAUCGCAUGGUAGAAGUAUCAAAGCUUUUGCGGUACAGGAUGGACCCGCGUCUGAUUAGCUAGUUGGUAAGGUAACGGCUUACCAAGGCGACGAUCAGUAGCCGACCUGAGAGGGUGAUCGGCCACAUUGGAACUGAGACACGGUCCAAACUCCUACGGGAGGCAGCAGUGGGGAAUAUUGCACAAUGGGCGAAAGCCUGAUGCAGCAACGCCGCGUGAGCGAUGAAGGCCUUCGGGUCGUAAAGCUCUGUCCUCAAGGAAGAUAAUGACGGUACUUGAGGAGGAAGCCCCGGCUAACUACGUGCCAGCAGCCGCGGUAAUACGUAGGGGGCUAGCGUUAUCCGGAAUUACUGGGCGUAAAGGGUGCGUAGGUGGUUUCUUAAGUCAGAGGUGAAAGGCUACGGCUCAACCGUAGUAAGCCUUUGAAACUGGGAAACUUGAGUGCAGGAGAGGAGAGUGGAAUUCCUAGUGUAGCGGUGAAAUGCGUAGAUAUUAGGAGG